AGAGUUUGAUCCUGGCUCAGGACGAACGCUGGCGGCGUGCUUAACACAUGCAAGUCGAACGGAAAGGCCCUUCGGGGUACUCGAGUGGCGAACGGGUGAGUAACACGUGGGUGAUCUGCCCUGCACUUUGGGAUAAGCCUGGGAAACUGGGUCUAAUACCGAAUAUGACCAUGCGCCUCCUGGUGUGUGGUGGAAAGCUUUUGCGGUGUGGGAUGGGCCCGCGGCCUAUCAGCUUGUUGGUGGGGUAAUGGCCUACCAAGGCGACGACGGGUAGCCGGCCUGAGAGGGUGACCGGCCACACUGGGACUGAGAUACGGCCCAGACUCCUACGGGAGGCAGCAGUGGGGAAUAUUGCACAAUGGGCGCAAGCCUGAUGCAGCGACGCCGCGUGAGGGAUGACGGCCUUCGGGUUGUAAAUCUCUUUCAGCACAGACGAAGCGCAAGUGACGGUAUGUGCAGAAGAAGGACCGGCCAACUACGUGCCAGCAGCCGCGGUAAUACGUAGGGUCCGAGCGUUGUCCGGAAUUACUGGGCGUAAAGAGCUCGUAGGUGGUUUGUCGCGUUGUUCGUGAAAACUCACAGCUUAACUGUGGGCGUGCGGGCGAUACGGGCAGACUUGAGUACUGCAGGGGAGACUGGAAUUCCUGGUGUAGCGGUGGAAUGCGCAGAUAUCAGGAGGAACACCGGUGGCGAAGGCGGGUCUCUGGGCAGUAACUGACGCUGAGGAGCGAAAGCGUGGGGAGCGAACAGGAUUAGAUACCCUGGUAGUCC
rnacentral:rRNA from 1 species